GGACCGUUAGCUCAGCUGGAUAGAGCGCUGCCCUCCGAAGGCAGAGGCCAGAGGUUCGAAUCCUCUACGGUCCG
rfam:Tateyamaria sp. ANG-S1 contig_6, whole genome shotgun sequence.